AGCAACCGUUUCGCACGGAGGGGGGCUUGAUAAGAGUCCCGAGUGUGAGAUGAUUUGACUUGGGUUGUUCAAAGCGGUGACAGAACAGAAGAUGCCAUGGCGUGUCCAGGCAUAUCCAUCAAGGAACUGCAUGCAGAGCGUCGAUACCUCAGUGCAGAGGGAUGAAUAACAAGGCCUUCCAGCAUUCCCAAACAUCCGGCUCAAGUCCAGUCGAUGCUCAUUCCUGCGAUCAGCGAUCCAUCUGCCUGUUGACAGACAAGAUGAACAAGAUAGAUGAAGACACCUGCGAGGGGAGGAGCUGUGGAAAUCCACGGCGUGACUAUCUUUCGCAGGAGGGCUGCUGUGCCCUUGCACAGGAUGAAGAGCCCAGUUGUCCAGCCGUAUUUCAUUAACAUCAAAGAUGUCAUUCGGGUGCACUGCAGUUUCAACUUGUGUUGGACGGUAAAUCAACAGUUCUCACAUUCUUGUGCUUUGGCAUCACCAUUGUCGUCAUCAUCCCCUCGGAUUUCAUUUAACUUAUGUAAGAGUUUCCCCUUACUGUAGCAUGCAUGCUUUGUUUGGAUGCUUUAGCAAUGAUCAUGCGGGUGAAACUGGCCCCGUGAAUGUUUAUACCCUGUAGUGUUUGGAUGUUUACAAGUGUGUGUUUACAAGAUAGCAGCUGUGAUCACUCACCGGGUUAAAGAGAGAUGCAGGCAGUAGUUUAUUUAUUUAUUCAUUUUUUAAUUUGCCUUCGCUAAAAGCAAUGACACACGAGGAAGCUUUUUUUCGGGCAACAUAAUAGGCAACUUUUAUCAUUAUAUCUCUUUGGAACUAGCUCAGCAUUUAAAGUACGUAUGCACAGUGUAAUCAGGAGUAUAAAUCUGUCGCGGGUGAUGCCUAAAGAGGCAACAGACAACUUUCCUGCCCCUAGUGGUUCCAGGUGGUAUUAUUUAUUCACGCUUAAAUGGGCAUGUUCAUUUGAUUCCUUUGUGCUGAUAAUAUACAAUCUUCAGGCUAUCGAAACUUUGAAGGAUUUCUGGGAGCCAGUUUGAAUGGGCCUGAUGGAGCCGAUAACAUUUAUAAUCAAUAAAUACUGUUAUCUACAAUUUAGUUGCUUUGAUUAAAUUUGUCAGUAAAGAUGCUUCAUAGUCAGUACGUAUUGUUUGUUUGUACCUCACUCUUUUCUGUAUACUGUAGAUCUACAGUAUUUAUUCUUAGACUGACAGAUGAAGCAAAUGGUUUUAAAGGAAGGAGGAUUGCAGUGGGAGCACUCAGGUGUCAGGUGUAACUGUGAGGCAAUGGCAAAGGGUUUACAUGGCUGAUGAGUCAGGUAGGAGGGCCCCUUAGCAGAAUUUCGCACAGGGCCCCGGGGAGGUCAGAGACGGCACUGCAUUAGCCAGUAUUAUAUCUGUUGGACAGGUAAGAAUCUUGACAAUUAUGGCAGUCUCAUUCCUUCAAGUUUCUUUUUCUGUUUUCUACACGAAAAACAACUUAUUGAUCUUGACAGCCAACAUCACAAUAGCGAUUAAAACAAUCUGAAAAGGAGAAACCUGCACAGUGUGUCUUAAUAAUGUCUCACCAUCGCUGAGCCACGGCAUUUUAAACAGUGCGGCAAGCUGAUUUUAAAAUUUCGCCUUUCUAACACUGGUCGGUAUAUUGGAAACAAUAAAAAAAACAACAUACAACAACAUAUUUUUCCAGCAUUAAGGAUGAUGGAUUGCAACUAAUCUCAAACAAUGGCUCUUCAAACCCUUUAUCGUAUGAAAAAUGGU